UUUGCCAAAUAAGUAUAAUCAUAUAUAUAAAAGUCAUAUACUCAAAAAAUUACAUUGUACUCAAUUUAUAAUGUAUCAAAAACAACUACAUACAUUCUUUAUAAGUGUCCUUUACGCGAAUCCAUAUUCUGAAAUCGUUGAAUAAUCGGCUCAUCAUCAAUUUGCUCCAACACAUCGCUUUCAAUAUAAGUCACCAGACAAUCAUUCAUCCAUUUGUCCCCCAUUCGAUUUGCGUAAUCUAGUUUUCACAAUCGUCAUGACGGAAAAGGAACGUUCGACGGUUGCUGUGGCAACAAGCAAAAUCAUCGCUAUCUUCAAUAGUUGAUAAACU
rnacentral:lncRNA from 1 species